CUGCUGCCUCCCGUAGGAGUCUGGCCGUGUCUCAGUCCCAGUGUGGGGGGCCUUCCUCUCAGAACCCCUACGCAUCGUCGCCU
rnacentral:rRNA from 1 species